CCCAAGCUCCGCUCGAGCUCCCCUGGCACGUAGGUAGGAAGUGGGUUGAGCGAAAGUGCGGGCAUAGUCUCUUUCAUAAGUAUCAACAAUAACAAACUGAGGAGUGGGUAUUUCAGGAGCUAGUUUCUUGGUAGGGAUGUGGUGCACCUCAUUAUCAGGCUCAACCGAAGCAAUGCGUAGGAGCUGAGAGUUGCGAGUAGCGCGAGUAGAAGUGGAAGUCUCAUCUUCUUCAAAAUCUUUCAGAGACUUAACAAUUGGGAGCUUCUUGUGUAUAUCUAAUGGCCGUGGCCUGAAUGAAAGUCUACUCAUUAUAUUUUCUUAUACAUGUGUGUAAUCUUCACUCUCAUUGCCUAUAAACUUCAUGAAAAAGAAACAAAUAUCACAACAAGCAGGUAAAUGACUAAUUGUAGCUGAAACCAGGUAAAGAUGAACAAUUUUCUAUACAAGCGGAUGGAAUCUGGUUUCCUGUGUGUAGGGUUCAACACAAGAAAGAUUUCAGUUAAGGAAACUUCUCUGCAGUUUUCCGUCGUCUGGUCCUCUCGGCUAGGGUUUUUGCGAUUUCAAU
rnacentral:misc_RNA from 1 species